rnacentral:rRNA from 1 species
UGUGACGUUACCAAACUGUUGCCUCGGCGGGGUCACGCCCCGGGUGCGUCGCAGCCCCGGAACCAGGCGCCCGCCGGAGGAACCAACCAAACUCUUUCUGUAGUCCCCUCGCGGACGUAUUUCUUACAGCUCUGAGCAAAAAUUCAAAAUGAAUCAAAACUUUCAACAACGGAUCUCUUGGUUCUGGCAUCGAUGAAGAACGCAGCGAAAUGCGAUAAGUAAUGUGAAUUGCAGAAUUCAGUGAAUCAUCGAAUCUUUGAACGCACAUUGCGCCCGCCAGUAUUCUGGCGGGCAUGCCUGUCCGAGCGUCAUUUCAACCCUCGAACCCCUCCGGGGGAUCGGCGUUGGGGAUCGGGACCCCUCACACGGGUGCCGGCCCCGAAAUACAGUGGCGGUCUCGCCGCAGCCUCUCCUGCGCAGUAGUUUGCACAACUCGCACCGGGAGCGCGGCGCGUCCACGUCCGUAAAACACCCAACUUUCUGAAAUGUUGACCUCGGAUCAGGUAGGAAUACCCGCUGAACUUAAGCAUAUCAA